rnacentral:rRNA from 1 species
UGGGGAAUUGUUCGCAAUGGGCGCAAGCCUGACGACGCAACGCCGCGUGGAGGAUGAAGACCUUCGGGUCGUAAACUCCUUUCGAUCGAGACGAAUGGCCUCCGGGUGAAUAAUCCGGAGGAGUGACGGUACCGAGAGAAGAAGCCCCGGCUAACUCCGUGCCAGCAGCCGCGGUCAUACGGGGGGGGCAAGCGUUGUUCGGAAUUACUGGGCGUAAAGGGCUCGUAGGUGGCCAACUAAGUCAGACGUGAAAUCCCUCGGCUUAACCGGGGAACUGCAUCUGAUACUGGAUGGCUUGAGUUUGGGAGAGGGACGCGGAAGUCCAGGUGUAGCGGUGAAAUGCGUAGAUAUCUGGAGGAACACCGGUGGCGAAGGCGGCGUCCUGGACCAAUACUGACACUGAUGAGCGAAAGCCAGGGGAGCAAACGGG